GUUCACUGACAUGCGACUCUGGGGCUAAGAAGCAUGUGGUGGGUUUCUGGAGAGCACAAGGGGUCACUUUUCUCCAUCCCAGAACACACAACAGCAUCACAAACCGACUCCAAAUCAAAGUUGUUAAAUUUCCAAGCUUUAAUCCCAAACCAGACCACAGCGAGGUCAGACUCAGAUAUUCACCCCUCCCUCUACCCGACCACCUACUUCCCAGAGUCU